UACGAAGGGGGCUAGCGUUGCUCGGAAUGACUGGGCGUAAAGGGCGCGUAGGCGGCUCGCAGAGUCGGACGUGAAAUCCCCGGGCUUAACCUGGGGGCUGCGUUCGAUACCUGCGGACUGGAGUGAGGAAGAGGGUCGUGGAAUUCCCAGUGUAGAGGUGAAAUUCGUAGAUAUUGGGAAGAACACCGGUGGCGAAGGCGGCUCACUGGCCCGUUACUGACACUCAUGCGCGACAGCGUGGGGAUCAAACAGG
rnacentral:rRNA from 1 species